UACGUAGGGUGCGAGCGUUGUCCGGAAUUAUUGGGCGUAAAGAGCUUGUAGGCGGUUUGUCGCGUCUGCUGUGAAAACUCGAGGCUUAACCUCGAGCUUGCAGUGGGUACGGGCAGACUAGAGUGUGGUAGGGGAGACUGGAAUUCCUGGUGUAGCGGUGAAAUGCGCAGAUAUCAGGAGGAACACCGAUGGCGAAGGCAGGUCUCUGGGCCACUACUGACGCUGAGAAGCGAAAGCAUGGGGAGCGAACAGG
rnacentral:rRNA from 1 species